AGGACGAACGCUGGCGGCGUGCCUAACACAUGCAAGUCGAGCGGAGACAUGAGGGAGCUUGCUCCCGAAUGUUUUAGCGGCGGACGGGUGAGUAACGCGUGAGCAACCUUUCUCUCAGUGGGGAAUAACACACCGAAAGGUGUACUAAUACCGCAUGAGACCACAGUGCCGCAUGGCACAGGGGUCAAAGAUUUAUUGCUGAGAGGUGGGCUCGCGUCCGAUUAGAUAGUUGGUGAGGUAACGGCUCACCAAGUCGACGAUCGGUAGCCGACCUGAGAGGGUGAUCGGCCACAUUGGGACUGAGACACGGCCCAAACUCCUACGGGAGGCAGCAGUGGGGAAUAUUGGGCAAUGGGCGAAAGCCUGACCCAGCAACGCCGCGUGAAGGAAGAAGGUCUUCGGAUCGUAAACUUCUGUCCUAAGUGAAGAGUAGAAGACGGUAACUUAGGAGGAAGCCCCGGCUAACUACGUG
rnacentral:rRNA from 1 species